rnacentral:rRNA from 1 species
UACAGAGGGUGCAAGCGUUAAUCGGAAUUACUGGGCGUAAAGGGCGCGUAGGUGGUUAGUUAAGUAAGUUGUGAAAGCCCCGGGCUCAACCUGGGAAUGGCAACUUAAACUGAUUAGCUGGAGUACAUGAGAGGGUAGUGGAAUUUCCGGUGUAGCGGUGAAAUGCGUAGAUAUCGGAAGGAACACCAGUGGCGAAGGCGACUACCUGGCAUGAUACUGACACUGAGGCGCGAAAGCGUGGGGAGCAAACAGG